GACGUAGGGCGCGAGCGUUGUCCGGAUUUAUUGGGCGUAAAGAGCUCGUAGGCGGCUUGUCGCGUCGUCCGUGAAAACUUGGGGCUCAACCCCAAGCUUGCGGUCGAUACGGGCAGGCUAGAGUUCGGUAGGGGAGACUGGAAUUCCUGGUGUAGCGGUGAAAUGCACAGAUAUCAGGAGGAACACCGGUGGCGAAGGCGGGUCUCUGGGCCGAUACUGACGCUGAGGAGCGAAAGCGUGGGGAGCGAACAGG
rnacentral:rRNA from 1 species